UGGCUGUACAAUAUCACUAGGCUUUGAAGCAGACGCAGACAUGGCAUUAUUGCUUGUUCGUACACUGCUUUGACCAGGUAGCCACCCGAGCGAUCCAGCAAAUGAACGAAUGACUAAUAAAUCAUUUAUAAUCAAUAUGCCUGUGGAACCUCCCGGCAAAAUCAGCAAAGUUCGAUCAAAACUUCGUAGAAGUCGUUUGUUUUGUGGUUCCUCAAAUUGCCCAUGGACAACAAUUUUGAUGGCUGCACCAACCGAAGGCAGAACCAGG